UGGGGAAUAUUGGACAAUGGGGGAAACCCUGAUCCAGCCAUGCCGCGUGAGUGAUGAAGGCCUUAGGGUUGUAAAGCUCUUUCGCUGGGGAAGAUAAUGACGGUACCCAGUAAAGAAGCCCCGGCUAACUUCGUGCCAGCAGCCGCGGUAAUACGAAGGGGGCUAGCGUUGUUCGGAAUUACUGGGCGUAAAGCGCACGUAGGCGGGUAUUUAAGUCAGGGGUGAAAUCCCGGAGCUCAACUCCGGAACUGCCUUUGAUACUGGAUACCUUGAGUUCGAGAGAGGUGAGUGGAAUUCCGAGUGUAGAGGUGAAAUUCGUAGAUAUUGGGAAGAACACCAGUGGCGAAGGCGGCACUCUGGCCCGUAUCUGACGCUGAGGCGCGAAAGCGUGGGGAGCAAACAGGAUUAGAUACCCGCGUAGUCC
rnacentral:rRNA from 1 species